UACAGGGGGGGCAAGCGUUGUUCGGAAUUACUGGGCGUAAAGGGCCAGUAGGCGGCCAACUAAGUCGGACGUGAAAUCCCUCGGCUUAACCGGGGAACUGCGUCCGAUACUGGAUGGCUUGAGUUCGGGAGAGGGAUGCGGAAUUCCAGGUGUAGCGGUGAAAUGCGUAGAUAUCUGGAGGAACACCGGUGGCGAAGGCGGCAUCCUGGACCGACACUGACGCUGAGGAGCGAAAGCCAGGGGAGCAAACGGG
rnacentral:rRNA from 1 species